UACAGAGGGUGCGAGCGUUAAUCGGAAUUACUGGGCGUAAAGCGUGCGCAGGCGGUUCGUUAUGUCCGAUGUGAAAGCCCCGAGCUUAACUUGGGAAUGGCAUUGGAAACUGGCGGGCUGGAGUGCGGCAGAGGGGGAUGGAAUUCCGCGUGUAGCAGUGAAAUGCGUAGAUAUGCGGAGGAACACCGAUGGCGAAGGCAAUCCCCUGGGCCUGCACUGACGCUCAUGCACGAAAGCGUGGGGAGCAAACAGG
rnacentral:rRNA from 1 species